AAGGAUUUGGGUGCUCUGCAUUACUUCCUUGGUUUGGAGGUGUCACGGUCUUCUACUGGGUUGACUCUGACUCAGAAAAAGUAUUCUUUGGAUUUGUUGCGUCGUGCUGGGAUGCUCAAAUGCAAACAUGCUAUCACUCCGAUGUCUGCGACUGAUCGGUUGUCUGCCCUUGAUGGAGAUCUUCUUUCCACUGAUGACGCCACUGAGUAUCGUAGUAUUGUUGGUGGUCUGCAAUAUCUCACUAUCACCAGGCCUGAUGUCUCUUAUGCAGUCAACCGUGUGUGCCAGUACCUUCAUGCACCUCGUACCACUCAU
rnacentral:rRNA from 1 species